rnacentral:rRNA from 1 species
UAUUGGUCAAUGGGCGAGAGCCUGAACCAGCCAUCCCGCGUGUGCGAUGAAGGCCUUCGGGUUGUAAAGCACUUUUGGCAGGGAAGAAACGGCGUCGAAUAAUACUUGACGUCACUGACGGUACCUGCAGAAUAAGCACCGGCUAACUACGUGCCAGCAGCCGCGGUAAUACGUAGGGUGCAAGCGUUAAUCGGAAUUACUGGGCGUAAAGCGUGCGCAGGCGGUUUGGAAAGAAAGAUGUGAAAUCCCAGAGCUUAACUUUGGAACUGCAUUUUUAACUGCCAAGCUAGAGUAUGUCAGAGGGGGGUAGAAUUCCACGUGUAGCAGUGAAAUGCGUAGAGAUGUGGAGGAAUACCGAUGGCGAAGGCAGCCCCCUGGGAUAAUACUGACGCUCAUGCACGAAAGCGUGGGGAGC